rnacentral:tRNA from 1 species
GCCCUGGUAGUUUAGCCCGGUUAGAAUGUGAGGCUGUCACCCUUGAGACCCGGGUUCAAAUCCCGGCCAGGGCG